UCCCUGGUGGUUCAGAGGGUAAAGCAUCUGCCUGUGAUGCAAAAGACCCAGGUUCGAUCCCUGGGUCGGGAA
rnacentral:tRNA from 1 species